AGAGUUUGAUCCUGGCUCAGAGCGAACGCUGGCGGCAGGCCUAACACAUGCAAGUCGAACGACCUCUUCGGAGGGAGUGGCGGACGGGUGAGUAACACGUGGGAACGUACCCUUUGGUUCGGAACAACACAGGGAAACUUGUGCUAAUACCGGAUGAGCCCUUCGGGGGAAAGAUUUAUCGCCAUUGGAGCGGCCCGCGUUCGAUUAGCUAGUUGGUGGGGUAAAGGCCCACCAAGGCUCCGAUCGAUAGCUGGUCUGAGAGGAUGAUCAGCCACACUGGGACUGAGACACGGCCCAGACUCCUACGGGAGGCAGCAGUGGGGAAUCUUGCGCAAUGGGCGAAAGCCUGACGCAGCCAUGCCGCGUGAAUGAUGAAGGUCUUAGGAUUGUAAAAUUCUUUCAGCAGGGACGAUAAUGACGGUACCUGCAGAAGAAGCCCCGGCUAACUUCGUGCCAGCAGCCGCGGUAAUACGAAGGGGGCUAGCGUUGCUCGGAUUUACUGGGCGUAAAGGGCGCGUAGGCGGAUCAGCAAGUUGGGGGUGAAAGCCCGGGGCUCAACCUCGGAACUGCCCUCAAAACUGUUGAUCUAGAGUUUGGGAGAGGUGUGUGGAACUCCGAGUGUAGAGGUGAAAUUCGUAGAUAUUCGGAAGAACACCAGUGGCGAAGGCGACACACUGGCCCAAUACUGACGCUGAGGGCGAAAGCGUGGGGAGCAAACAGGAUUAGAUACCCUAGUAGUCC
rnacentral:rRNA from 1 species